rnacentral:rRNA from 2 species
UACUCGAGCGGCGAACGGGUGAGUAAUAAGAGAGCAACCUGCCCCCGACUCUGGGAUAAGCCUGGGAAACCGGGUCUAAUACCGGAUAUGACCUCCGGCCGCAUGGGGGGUGGUGGAAAGUUUUUUCGGUCGGGGAUGGGCUCGCGGCCUAUCAGCUUGUUGGUGGGGUGAUGGCCUACCAAGGCGACGACGGGUAGCCGGCCUGAGAGGGCGACCGGCCACACUGGGACUGAGACACGGCCCAGACUCCUACGGGAGGCAGCAGUGGGGAAUAUUGCGCAAUGGGCGGAAGCCUGACGCAGCGACGCCGCGUGGGGGAUGAAGGCCUUCGGGUUGUAAACCUCUUUCAGCACCGACGAAUUUUGGACGGUAGGUGCAGAAGAAGCGCCGGCUAACUACGUGCCAGCAGCCGCGGUAAUACGUAGGGCGCAAGCGUUGUCCGGAAUUAUUGGGCGUAAAGAGCUCGUAGGCGGCCUGUCGCGUCCGUCGUGAAAGCCCACGGCUCAACCGUGGGUCUGCGGUGGAUACGGGCAGGCUAGAGGCAGGUAGGGGAGAACGGAAUUCCCGGUGUAGCGGUGAAAUGCGCAGAUAUCGGGAGGAACACCGGUGGCGAAGGCGGUUCUCUGGGCCUGUUCUGACGCUGAGGAGCGAAAGCGUGGGGAGCGAACAGG